rnacentral:tRNA from 2 species
GCCUGCGUAGCUCAGUCGGUAGAGCACUUCCUUGGUAAGGAAGAGGUCACCGGUUCAAAUCCGGUCGUAGGCUCUA